CCUACGGGAGGCAGCAGUGGGGAAUAUUGGACAAUGGGCGAAAGCCUGAUCCAGCCAUGCCGCGUGUGUGAAGAAGGCCUUCGGGUUGUAAAGCACUUUCAGUGGGGAAGAAAGCCUUGGGGCUAAUACCCUCGAGGAAGGACAUCACCCACAGAAGAAGCACCGGCUAACUCCGUGCCAGCAGCCGCGGUAAUACGGAGGGUGCGAGCGUUAAUCGGAAUUACUGGGCGUAAAGCGCGCGUAGGCGGUCUGAUAAGCCGGUUGUGAAAGCCCCGGGCUCAACCUGGGAACGGCAUCCGGAACUGUCAGGCUAGAGUGCAGGAGAGGAAGGUAGAAUUCCCGGUGUAGCGGUGAAAUGCGUAGAGAUCGGGAGGAAUACCAGUGGGGAAGGCGGCCUUCUGGACUGACACUGACGCUGAGGUGCGAAAGCGUGGGUAGCAAACAGGAUUAGAUACCCUUGUAGUC
rnacentral:rRNA from 1 species